GAUGAACGCUGGCGGCGUGCCUAAUACAUGCAAGUCGAGCGAACAGACGAGGAGCUUGCUCCUCUGACGUUAGCGGCGGACGGGUGAGUAACACGUGGAUAACCUACCUAUAAGACUGGGAUAACUUCGGGAAACCGGAGCUAAUACCGGAUAAUAUAUUGAACCGCAUGGUUCAAUAGUGAAAGACGGUUUUGCUGUCACUUAUAGAUGGAUCCGCGCCGCAUUAGCUAGUUGGUAAGGUAAAGGCUUACCAAGGCAACGAUGCGUAGCCGACCUGAGAGGGUGAUCGGCCACACUGGAACUGAGACACGGUCCAGACUCCUACGGGAGGCAGCAGUAGGGAAUCUUCCGCAAUGGGCGAAAGCCUGACGGAGCAACGCCGCGUGAAUGAUGAAGGUCUUCGGAUCGUAAAACCCUGUUAUUAGGGAAGAACAAAUGUGUAAGUAACUAUGCACGUCUUGACGGUACCUAAUCAGAAAGCCACGGCUAACUACGUG
rnacentral:rRNA from 1 species